rnacentral:misc_RNA from 1 species
UAGAGUUAUACAACUCCCAAACCAUUGUGAACUUACCUUUGUUGCCUCGGCGGAAGCUACCCUGUAGCGGCCGCCGGUGGACCAUUAAACUCUUGUUUUUAUCAUGACAUCUGAGCGUCUUAUUUUAAUAAGUCA